AUUGAACGCUGGCGGCAGGCCUAACACAUGCAAGUCGAGCGAGGGGCGGACGGGUGUGAAAUGUCGGGAACUUGCGCAGGCGAGGGGGAUAACAGGUGGAAACGACUGCUAAUACCGCAUACGCGUAGAUUGCCCAGGUGGGAUUAGCUAGUUGGUGGGGUAAUGGCUCACCAAGGCGACGAUCCCUAGCUGGUCUGAGAGGAUGAUCAGCCACACUGGAACUGAGACACGGUCCAGACUCCUACGGGAGGCAGCAGUGGGGAAUAUUGCACAAUGGGGGAAAGCCUGAUGCAGCCAUGCCGCGUGUGUGAAGAAGGCCUUCGGGUUGUAAAGCACUUUCAGCGAGGAGGCGUUACUCGCAGAAGAAGCACCGGCUAACUCCGUGCCAGCAGCCGCGGUAAUUC
rnacentral:rRNA from 1 species